CGUACUAGCGAGCAAUAUCAUCUGUGAGUACCGAGCAGUCAGCCGUGUGCAUCGAACCUCUCUCCCUUUCUCCUCAUCUCGCGUGCGCCUAUGUCCCGAGCAAUCUCCGCCGCCACUCCACCGUCCUUGGUCCUUGCCGGCAUCCAGCAAUCUCGCUCCGCAUACGACGCUCCGGCGGAAUCCCUUGCCUAACCCGCAUCCACGCGCCUCCAAUCGUGCAGCUUCGGUAGCUCUAGUUGCCGGCCGGUGUCGACAACGACGGGGCCCGGCCUCGUUGUUUUGCUUGACCUCGGCUAUGGCUUUCCGUCGAUCUACCGGCCGUGGAAGGCGCUGAUCGUCCUCGGCAUCUAGCGCAUCGACGGCUCGCCAUCCACGGUCACGGUCUGCCACCGAGGCCCCCGCCGCGCGCGAGCUCCAGCACCUCUGCUCCGCCGCCGUCUUCGCGGGGUCGCCCGACGGAAGGGAGUCCAUCGACGCGGCCGUCAGCGACGCAUCUGAAGACUGGGAGGGACGUGUCUACGUUCUGCAAGAGCUCGCCCCCCAAGAUCCACCGCGACGGCGCCGUUCAGGAGGAGCUCCUCAUCGACAACAAGGAAGAGGGAUUUCGCUCACCAUCUGCAGUCUGCACGCCAAGUCUUCCGGCAUGAUGCCGGCGCGCCAGAAGCAGCCGGAGGCCUCGGAUACAAUAACCAGUGCAUUGCCAUGUACGUGACUACUGGCUCGCUUGUGGUGAGUGAGAGAUUGAGCGUUAGGAGGUGUGCAACUCGCCGGUGUGUGGUGAUCCCAGCGGCGAUCUUUGUCGAUGACGCCGGACGAAAACCAGGGGAGGUACUGGUUGAGCUACACUGGUAGCUUCACCCGCAUGCUGAAGGAUCUGGACAUGCCGAGCGACGUUUCUCUUAAAUAGAUCUACAUGAGUAAUUCAGAAAGAGGCAUGCAGAUCUUUGAGAGCCAUCCUUUGUUGCACAUCAACUCCGUGGCUCUCUCAUUACGUCAAAGGUCUUGUUAUUCUUGACAGGCUGCAUGAGAACACGUGCUCAAACUGUUGCAAAGAGGAAUUGGGAAUUCAGCAAGGGAGGAAGGAAGAAGGUUGUAGUGGUAUUACAACAUUUCAUAGUGUUGGUCAUAUGACAGAAGAUGGUGCUCUUGGUAUAUGUGUAUGCUGAUCAAAAGGGCAUGGGCUCUGUCCUGGCCAUUUCCUCGUACGUGCUUGCCAGGAACAAUGACGCACCCGCUGCUGCCAUGCCAGCCGGUUGAUCCGGUAUAAGAACUUCAAGGAAGGACACAAGAGGAUACUUGUGGCUACAAAUUUAGUUGGCGGCAAAAUUGAUGUUGUCCAUGCUCUGACUCUGAUGUUCUCAAUCAGGUUGUUCGGGAGACAACUUACCCAUGGUGUUGGUGUUGUCUAAAAUUGUGAAGCUCACAUACCGAAGUAACUAGGUCCUAACAAGCGACGCAUCAUACAAACAUCGUCUAGAGCAUGGAGCUCCUGGAGCUAGGCGAAAGAAGCAGCGCUGCGGCGUGACACAUAUGUCGGUGGCCUGGUAUCCAACCUUUAGGUGGUGGAGUUGUUUGUGUGCAUGGCCAAGAACAGGAGCAUCUGAUUUCCUCCUUCACAUCUGACCUGGCUGGCCUCCCUCAACUUAUCAUUGCACAUCAGCUAAAGUAAGAAGAAGAUGAACAAGACUUGGAAGGAUGAGACAUCACAGCUAGAUCCUUUCUAUGAAUGUUAUACUAUUCCGGUCCUUGUAGUGUGAGUACUAGUUGACAUUUUUAAGCAUCGUUGUUAUUGUAAUGCUUCCAAUCAGGACCUGUAAGUGCUUCCGUUGACAUGUUUAUUUUUGAACUUGAGGUUAUGGUUGGUUAGGCUUAUGAAGGAGUUGGCUAUAGUAUACACCUUAAAUCUAGUUUACUGGAUUGGAUGGAAAUUAACCGGUGGUGGUCUGUUUGGAUUUCGUACAAAGAGGAGGAACAGAAGAGAAGAAUGUUCCAGCCACAGUUGAGAUUUUUGCAAAUGAGUUACAAUGGCUGCUUGUUCGGGCCGUGAGAUUUUCAUUCGAGACGGACUUGCUCUUGAAAUUGAUGGAUGCUACAUGGUGUAGCGAUGUGGGUGAUGGAUGUGUCCUGGAAGUUUCAGGGUAACUACUGUAGAUGUGUAUCGUCAGAUCUACAAGACUAUAUUUUGAUGACUAGCUGAUGUUUUGUUGAGCUAAACACGGCAGUGGCUGCGUAUGGUGUUGGUUCUUGUAGCUAACUAGCUAGCUUUGUUAUAUUUACUUUGUCACAAGUGUGUGUGCGCCCAAUUCUGUUGUAAUUUUGCAUUAGAUUAUCGACAUAAGCUUUGAAAGCAUGAGACGUAUGUAUAACUGGUCCCCUUUGUUUAUGGAAAUUUCAUUUGCCGAUGCUA